UCGACUGCAUGAAGCCGGAAUCGCUAGCAAUCGCGGAUCAGAAUGCCGCGGUGAGUACGUUCCCGGGUCUUGUACACACCGCCCGUCACACCAUGGGAGUCGGAAAUGCCCGAAGCCGGUGGCCUAACCGAUAAGGGAGGAGCCGUCGAAGGCAGGUCUGAUGACUGGGGUGAAGUCGUAACAAGGUACC
rnacentral:rRNA from 1 species